AAGCAAUGCAACUCUUUUAUUGUGGCAUUGACUUUUUAUUUGACCAGGAUCGUUCGUUAAUUUUCUGCGAAGUUAAUUCCAAUGUACAGCUCACCAAAAGCUCGAUGUAUUUGAAAACUAACCUCGCCAUUCAACUUUUAGCAUCAAUCGCAUAAUGGCCAAAAUUAAGUUAAAAAACAGAAAAGCACUCGUUGU
rnacentral:sRNA from 1 species